AGAGUGAACGCUGGCGGUAGGCCUAACACAUGCAAGUCGAACGGCAGCACGGUAAGAGCUUGCUCUUAUGGGUGGCGAGUGGCGGACGGGUGAGGAAUACAUCGGAAUCUACCUUUUGGUGGGGGAUAACGUAGGGAAACUUACGCUAAUACCGCAUACGCCCUUCGGGGGAAAGCCGGGGACCAGCAAUGGCCUGGCGCUGAUGGAUGAGCCGAUGUCGGAUUAGCUAGUUGGUGAGGUAAUGGCUCACCAAGGCGACGAUCCGUAGCUGGUCUGAGAGGAUGAUCAGCCACACUGGAACUGAGACACGGUCCAGACUCCGUACGGGAGCAGCAGGUGGGGAAUAGUU
rnacentral:rRNA from 1 species